rnacentral:tRNA from 1 species
GCCCUUUUAACUCAGUGGUAGAGUAAUGCCAUGGUAAGGCGUAAGCCCUCGGUUCAAAUCCGAUAUCCGAUAAGGGGCU